rnacentral:rRNA from 1 species
GACGAACGCUGGCGGCGUGCCUAAUACAUGCAAGUCGAACGGUCUUUUCUAUGGAAGCUUGCUUCCGCUGAGAAGAUAGUGGCGAACGGGUGAGUAACACGUGGGUAACCUGCCCAUAAGAGGGGGAUAACAUCCGGAAACGGGUGCUAAUACCGCAUAGUUUUCUUGAUCGCAUGAUUGAGAAAGGAAAGACGGCCUUUGUGCUGUCGCUUAUGGAUGGACCCGCGGCGUAUUAGUUAGUUGGUGAGGUAACGGCUCACCAAGACGAUGAUACGUAGCCGACCUGGGAGGGUGAUCGGCCACAUUGGGACUGAGACACGGCCCAAACUCCUACGGGAGGCAGCAGGAGGGAAUCUUCCGCAAUGGACGAAAGUCUGACGGAGCAACGCCGCGUGAGUGAAGAAGGUUUUCGGAUCGUAAAGCCCUGUCAGGUGGGAAGAAUGGCCGGGGGACGAAUGGUUUUCCGGAUUGACGGUACCACCAGAGGAAGCACCGGCUAACUCCGUGCCAGCCGCCGCAGUAAUAC